AAGAAAGUAAAUAAGGGCGCAUGGCGGAUGCCUUGGCUCUCGGAGGCGAUGAAGGACGUGAUAAGCUGCGAUAAGCUUCGGGUAGGUGCAAAUGACCUUUGAUCCGAAGAUUUCCGAAUGGGACAACCCGGCAUUCUGAAGGAAUGUCAUCCAACUUGGUUGGAGGCUAACGCAGGGAACUGAAACAUCUUAGUACCUGCAGGAAAAGAAAAUAAAUAAUGAUUCCCCUAGUAGUGGCGAGCGAACGGGGAUUAGCCCAAACCACCCAUGUUACGGCAUGUGUGGGGUUGUAGGACCACGCUCUCGCAAGACAGUUAUUGAGAAGAAACGACUGGAAAGUCGUGCCAUAGACGGUGAUAGCCCGGUAUUCUAAGGUAACCGAAGCGUAGUGGUAUCCUGAGUAGCGCGGAGCACGAGGAAUUCUGCGUGAAUCAGCCGGGACCAUCCGGUAAGGCUAAAUACUCCCGAGAGACCGAUAGCGAACCAGUACUGUGAAGGAAAGGUGAAAAGCACUUCGAAUAGAAGAGUGAAAUAGUCCCUGAAACCAUGCGCCUACAAGCGGUCGGAGCAGCUUUAGCUGUGACGGCGUGCCUUUUGCAUAAUGAACCUACGAGUUACUUUUUCCGGCAAGGUUAAGCAUCUUGAGAUGUGGAUCCGAAGCGAAAGCGAGUCUGAACAGGGCGGAUAGUCGGAAGGAGUAGACGCGAAACCAAGUGAUCUACCCUUGGGCAGGUUGAAGGUUAGGUAACACUAACUGGAGGACCGAACCGAUAAGCGUUGAAAAGCUUCCGGAUGACCUGAGGGUGGGGGUGAAAGGCUAAUCAAACUUGGAGAUAGCUCGUACUCCCCGAAAUGCAUUUAGGUGCAGCCUUGAGAGUUACUAAUGUGAGGUAGAGCGACUGAUAAGAUGCGAGGGCUUCACCGCCUAUCAAGUCUUGAUAAACUCCGAAUGCGCAUUAGUUCUAUCUCAGGAGUGAGGGCAUGGGUGCUAAGGUCCAUGUCCUAAAGGAGAAGAAUCCAGACCAUCAGCUAAGGUCCCCAAAUAAACACUAAGUUGAACUAACGAAGUCAGAUUGCUAAGACAGCUAGGAUGUUGGCUUGGAAGCAGCCAUUCAUUUAAAGAGUGCGUAACAGCUCACUAGUCGAGGAGUUUGGCGUGGAUAAUAAUCGGGCAUUAAGUGUUUUACCGAAGCUAUGGGAUCCUAAUGGAUCGGUAGGGGAGCAUUCCACUCUGCGUUGAAGGCGAAGCGUGAGCUUUACUGGAGCGUGUGGAAAAGCAAAUGUAGGUAUAAGUAACGAUAAAGGGGGUGAGAAACCCCCUCGCCGCAAGACUAAGGUUUCCUGAUCAACGCUAAUCGGAUCAGGGUUAGUCGGGUCCUAAGGCUCAGCCGAACGGUGAGGCCGAUGGCAGAACAGGUUAAUAUUCCUGUACUACCUGUAGGAGUGAUGUGGAGACGGAGGAGUGACAACGCCGCGGACUGACGGAAUAGUCCGUUAAAGGGUGUAGAUGUUGAUUAUCCCAGGCAAAUCCGGGAUAAGAGUCGAACCUGACAGUAUACCAAUUUCCUCGGAAAACGGUAAUAGUGCGUGUAAACAUACUCCCAAGAAAAUCCGCUAAACUUAAUCUUACAGGUACCCGUACCGUAAACGGACACACGUAGUCGGGUUGAAUAUACUCAGGCGCUUGAGUGAAUCACGGUUAAGGAACUAGGCAAAUUGACCCUGUAACUUCGGGAUAAAGGGUCCCUACCCGGUGACGGGAGGGCGCAGAGAAUAGGUCCAGGCAACUGUUUAACAAAAACACAGGGCUGUGCAAAAUUGAAAGAUCACGUAUACAGCCUGACACCUGCCCGGUGCUGGAAGGUUAAGAGGAGAUGUCAUCGCAAGAGAAGCAUUGAAUUGAAGCCCCAGUAAACGGCGGCCGUAACUAUAACGGUCCUAAGGUAGCGAAAUUCCUUGUCGGGUAAGUUCCGACCUGCACGAAUGGUGUAAUGAUCUGGACACUGUCUCAACCGUGAGCUCAGUGAAAUUGUAGUAUCGGUGAAGAUGCCGAUUACCCGCGAUGGGACGAAAAGACCCCGUGAACCUUUACUAUAGCUUAACAUUGAAUUUGGGUAAUUGAUGUGUAGGAUAGGCCGGAGACUUUGAAGCAGG
rnacentral:rRNA from 1 species